rnacentral:rRNA from 1 species
UACGGAGGGUGCAAGCGUUGUUCGGAAUUAUUGGGCGUAAAGGGCAGGUAGGUGGUCUUAUAAGUCUACUGUGAAAUCCCCAGGCUUAACCUGGGAAGUGCGGUGGAUACUGUAAGACUAGAGUGCUAUAGGGGUACGCGGAAUUCUCGGUGUAGCGGUGAAAUGCGUAGAGAUCGAGAGGAACACCAGAGGCGAAGGCGGCGUACUGGAGAGCAACUGACACUGAGGCACGAAAGCGUGGGGAGCAAACAGG